rnacentral:pre_miRNA from 1 species
CAACUACUCCCUCUGUCCCAAAUUUCUUGUCUUAGAUUUGUCUAGAUACGGAUGUAUCUAAUACUAAAAUGUGACUUGAUACAUCCGUAUCUAAACAAAUCUAGGACAAGAAUUUUGGGACGGAGGGAGUACUUU